UUGCGUAGGUGGUUUAAUAAGCGAAUAGUGAAAUCUGGUGGCUCAACCAUUCAGACUAUUAUUCGAACUGUUGAACUCGAGAGCAGAAGAGGUAGCUGGAAUUUCUAGUGUAGGAGUGAAAUCCGUAGAUAUUAGAAGGAACACCGAUGGCGUAGGCAGGCUACUGGGCUGUUUCUGACACUGAGGCACGAAAGCGUGGGGAGCAACC
rnacentral:rRNA from 1 species